AUUGAACGCUGGCGGCAUGCUUUACACAUGCAAGUCGAACGGCAGCGCGGGCUUCGGCCUGGCGGCGAGUGGCGAACGGGUGAGUAAUACAUCGGAACGUGCCCAGCAGUGGGGGAUAGCUCGGCGAAAGCCGGAUUAAUACCGCAUACGACCUGAGGGUGAAAGCGGGGGAUCUUCGGACCUCGCGCUAUUGGAGCGGCCGAUGGCAGAUUAGCUAGUUGGUGGGGUAAAGGCCUACCAAGGCGACGAUCUGUAGCUGGUCUGAGAGGACGACCAGCCACACUGGGACUGAGACACGGCCCAGACUCCUACGGGAGGCAGCAGUGGGGAAUUUUGGACAAUGGGCGAAAGCCUGAUCCAGCAAUGCCGCGUGUGUGAUGAAGGCCUUCGGGUUGUAAAGCACUUUUGGCGGGAACGAAAGGGACCUGUGCCAAUAUCCACGGUU
rnacentral:rRNA from 1 species